UCCAGGAACUGAAACCUUGAGUGGACUUCAUGGCUCACCUUUCACUCAGGUCUUCCAGGAAAGGCAGGACUAAAUGCCCUAUUGCUGCCUAUGGGGCAAUGCAAACGCAGACCAAACCAAGCUGUGGCUGAGAAGAGAAAGAUAACAGGGCUGAAAAUGCACACCUCAGGAGCCAGAGUCCCUGCCAAGAAUUUAACUGCCAAAUCAUUACUAGUGGACUCUGGACUCUUCAUUGCAAGAUUGAGACAGCAUGAGUUGGAGGAAAGAGCCAACGUUUUUAAUUUAGACAACCUUGAGAUUCAGGCAUGGCCUGCAUUUGCUUGGAGGAAGAAAAUUGUUACAUUGUAAAUUUCAAGUUUUAUUUCUUCUAAAGAAAAUACUUUUUAAUGGCAAAUGUGCAGCAUACUGAAAAAUAUUUUAUCUUAUUGAUUCAAAGAAAAAUAACUUCCAGACAGGUCCUUCAAAAGGAACUCAAUUGUCAUAAAUUCCCUCUCCAGGAGUUUCAUCAAUCAGGGAAAAUAAACUCUCAUCACAGGAGCGAAGACUGGAAGUCAGUCCAUACUUCACCCAGACAAACUUUGUCACAAACUACCAUUCCUCCCAUCUAUCUUCUAAAGGUCCGUUAAUCUUUCCUAAAAAUCAUUUAUUCUCCUUUAAGAGGCCUGUACUCCCUCAUCCCUUUCCCUAUUAAGACAACAUUGAAGCCUGAAUUCUAAACCACCUCUUUGAGCAACUCGUUUUUUUCUAGGUAUCUCCCAGGUAUACAUGAAUUGUGCAUGUUA